rnacentral:rRNA from 1 species
AUUGAACGCUGGCGGCAGGCCUAACACAUGCAAGUCGAACGAGUGGCGGACGGGUGAGUAAUGUCUGGGAAACUGCCCGAUGGAGGGGGAUAACUACUGGAAACGGUAGCUAAUACCGCAUACCAUCGGAUGUGCCCAGAUGGGAUUAGCUAGUAGGUGGGGUAACGGAUCACCUAGGCGACGAUCACUAGCUGGUCUGAGAGGAUGACCAGCCACACUGGAACUGAUACACGGUCCAGACUCCGACGUAAUGCAGCAGUGGGGAAUAUUGCACAAUGGGCGAAAGCCUGAGGCAGCCAUGCCGCGUGGAGUAAGAAGGCCUUCGGGUUGUAAAGUACUUUCAGCGAGGAGGCGUUACUCGCAGAAGAAUCACCGGCGAACUCCGUGCCAGCAGCCGCGGUAAUAC